ensembl:snRNA U6 U6 spliceosomal RNA
GUGCUUGCUUUGGCAGCACAUAUACUAAAAUUGGAACAAUACAGAGAGGAUUAGCAUGGCCUCUGUGCAAGGAUGACACACAAAUACAUGAAGCGUUGCAUAUUUUU